AGAGCUCAAAUUUGAAAGCUGGCGUCUUCGGCGUCCGCGUUGUAAUCUCGAGAAGUGUUUUCCGCGCUGGACCAUGUACAAGUUCCUUGGAAUAGGACGUCAUAGAGGGUGAAAAUCCCGUACUUGACAUGGACGCCCAGUGCUUUGUGAUACGCUCUCCACGAGUCGAGUUGUUUGGGAAUGCAGCUCAAAAUGGGUGGUAAAUUCCAUCUAAAGCUAAAUAUUGGGGAGAGACCGAUAGCGAACAAGUACCGUGAGGGAAAGAUGAAAAGCACUUUGGAAAGAGAGUUAAAUAGUACGUGAAAUUGUCGAAAGGGAAGCGCUUGAAGUUAGACGUGCUUGUCGGGAUUCAGCCUUGCUUUUGCAUGGUGUAUUUCCCGGCGGGCAGGCCAGCAUCAGUUUUGCCUGUCGGAUAAGGGUAGGAGGAAUGUGGCCCCUCGGGGUGUUAUAGCCUUCUACUGGAUACGAUG
rnacentral:rRNA from 1 species